rnacentral:siRNA from 1 species
CGACCUUAAAUUGGAGCUCUAUCA